UAUCCACGCCGGGAAUCGAACCCGGGCCUCCUGGGUGAGAGCCAGGCAUCUUAGCCACUAGACCACGUGGGGAU
rnacentral:tRNA from 1 species